CCUUCCUCUCUCAGAAUGAGGGGAAAAACUUUUUUUUUUCUAUGCUUUAAUUUCCAAUGUAUGUUACAUAGUUGCAUCUGAUGCAAACUGUUGUUUUAGAGUAAAGUUUUAAAAGACUAAUGCAUAAAUUAUCCUUGUUGAAAUAUGAAUGGGCAUCUUGGAAGGAGAAAGAUUCUUAUAUCUAAUUGUACGUCUUCUAGUAGUUAUUUACUUGGUUGUUUUGUUUAAUGAAGAUAUUUGUUAUUUUAGUGUCACAUUGACUGGUUUCUUCAAGCCUUAUUGAAUUGUUAAGUUUUCCUUAUCUUUCUUUCUUUCCCCCCACAGAUGCAGAUCUUUGUUAAGACUCUCACUGGCAAGACCAUCACCCUUGAAGUUGAGAGCUCGGACACCAUUGAUAAUGUGAAGGCCAAGAUCCAGGAUAAGGAGGGCAUCCCCCCUGACCAGCAGAGGCUCAUCUUUGCUGGCAAACAACUUGAGGAUGGCCGCACUUUGGCUGACUACAACAUCCAGAAAGAGUCAACACUCCACCUUGUCUUGCGGCUCAGGGGUGGCAUGCAGAUCUUUGUGAAGACCCUUACUGGCAAGACCAUCACCCUGGAAGUUGAGAGCUCUGACACAAUUGAUAAUGUGAAGGCUAAGAUUCAGGACAAGGAGGGCAUCCCCCCUGACCAGCAGAGGCUCAUUUUUGCUGGCAAACAACUUGAGGAUGGCCGAACUUUGGCUGACUACAAUAUCCAGAAAGAGUCAACACUCCACCUUGUUCUACGGCUCAGGGGUGGCAUGCAGAUCUUUGUGAAGACCCUUACUGGCAAGACGAUCACCCUGGAAGUUGAGAGCUCUGACACAAUUGAUAAUGUGAAGGCUAAGAUUCAGGACAAGGAGGGCAUUCCCCCAGAUCAGCAGAGGCUCAUCUUUGCUGGAAAACAACUGGAGGAUGGCCGCACUUUGGCCGA
rnacentral:lncRNA from 1 species